CCCCCCCCGUGUGUAAUUCACCUGUGUCUAAUGGCGCUUGCUAUGUUUUGUGAGUUACAGCUGCGGAAAUGCGAGUUGCUGCUUUGUGACAGCCUUCGUUGUUUGAGGAGGAACGUCCCCUUAAUGUGCUGAAAUUAACGAAAAGCUACUGCAGGCUGAAUUUCAACUUUGCUGUUGUUACUUCACUGUGAGAAUGAAAUUGUCUUCCUGCAGAAAGUCACUGGACUCCUGAUUUCAGGACAAUAAGGAUAGUUAAGUUGCUUCAGAUAGCAUGUACAAUUCACACCUGUUGGAAGAAAUUGGAAAUACCACACCUGCUUUUACUAUUCAGAGAAGGAAAGACACAGCUGAGUUGCUAAACUUAGGAAUGUUAU
rnacentral:lncRNA from 1 species